rnacentral:rRNA from 1 species
AUUGAACGCUGGCGGCAUGCCUUACACAUGCAAGUCGAACGGCAGCACGGGAGCAAUCCUGGUGGCGGGUGGCGAACGGGUGAGUAAUAUAUCGGAACGUGCCCAGUCGUGGGGAUAACGUAGCGAAAGCUACGCUAAUACCGCAUACGAUCUAUGGAUGAAAGCGGGGGAUCGCAAGACCUCGCGCGAUUGGAGCGGCCGAUAUCAGAUUAGGUAGUUGGUGAGGUAAAGGCUCACCAAGCCGACGAUCUGUAGCUGGUCUGAGAGGACGACCAGCCACACUGGGACUGAGACACGGCCCAGACUCCUACGGGAGGCAGCAGUGGGGAAUUUUGGACAAUGGGCGCAAGCCUGAUCCAGCAAUGCCGCGUGCAGGAUGAAGGCCUUCGGUUGUAAACUGUCUUUUGUUACGGAACGAAACGGGUACGAGGCUCUAAUACAGUUUGUCUAAUUAGACGGUUAACCGUAA